AAAUCAUCAUCUAUAUAUCAUAUAUAUAUAUAUAUAUAUAUAUAUAGGGGUUCAGUACUAUUCACAGGUUCAGGUACCUGGUGGGGUAUUGGUGUUAUAGCCUCUGAGAGUAAGGAGAGAAUACCAUGUACUCAAAGUAAUAAAAUCAUCACCUCAUAAAGAUGUCUGCAUUCUCAUGGGAGGAAUCCUCAAAUUCGUCUCCCCAAGGAGUCUGGGACUAGGGUGUUUAAGGGUUUUGGAG
rnacentral:lncRNA from 10 species